rnacentral:rRNA from 1 species
GACGAACGCUGGCGGCGUGCUUAACACAUGCAAGUCGAACGGAAAGGCCCUGCUUUUGUUGGGUGCUCGAGUGGCGAACGGGUGAGUAACACGUGAGUAACCUGCCCUUGACUUUGGGAUAACUUCAGGAAACUGGGGCUAAUACCGGAUAGGAGCUCCUGCUGCAUGGUGGGGGUUGGAAAGUUUCGGCGGUUGGGGCUGGACUCGCGGCUUAUCAGCUUGUUGGUGGGGUAGUUGCUUACCAAGGGUUUGACGGGUAGCCGGCCUGAGAGGGUGACCGGCCACAUUGGGCCUGAGAUACGGCCCAGAAUGCUACGGGAGGCAGCAGUGGGGAAUAUUGCACAAUGGGCGGAAGCCUGAUGCAGCAACGCCGCGUGCGGGAUGACGGCCUUCGGGUUGUAAACCGAUUUCGAAUGUGACGAAGCGUGAGUGACGGUAAUGGGUAAAGAAGCACCGGCUAACUACGUG